rnacentral:rRNA from 1 species
GACGAACGCUGGCGGCGUGCUUAACACAUGCAAGUCGAACGGAAAGGCCCUGCUUGCAGGGUACUCGAGUGGCGAACGGGUGAGUAACACGUGGGUGAUCUGCCCUGCACUUCGGGAUAAGCCUGGGAAACUGGGUCUAAUACCGGAUAGGAGCCAUUUUGAGUGUGAUGGUUGGAAAGUUUUUUCGGUGUAGGAUGAGCUCGCGGCCUAUCAGCUUGUUGGUGGGGUGAUGGCCUACCAAGGCGGCGACGGGUAGCCGGCCUGGGAGGGUGGACGGCCAACCUGGGACCUGGGUUAGGCCCAGGCCCCGAAGGGGGGGAGGCGGGGGGAAUAUUGGACAAGGGGCGCAAGGCCUGUGCAGAGAAGCCGCGGGGGGGAAGACGGCCUUCGGGGUGGAAAAUCCCUUUGCUAGGGGAGAAGGUUUUUGUGACGGUACCUAGAUAAGAAGCACCGGCUAACUACGUG